GCCCUAUAUUCAAAGUGUCCUUCGGGACUAUGGACAUAAACGCGCUCGUAAUACGCGGAUCGGACCCGGGGGCGGUACCCGGCGUCUCCACCAAACAUCCUUCAUUUGGGGAUCAUGGGGACGAAACAGGAUCGACGAACGUCUAAAAGGGUUUGCUUUGUUUCGGCUGUCUGCCACCGUUAUCGGCGAAAACUGUACAAUUGCAAAUGACAAUCGUGCUCCGAUGGCAGUUGCAGCGUAAGCUGUAACCAACAUCGAAACUUAAGUCCUUGCGCCUAGCAGUGUAAGGCGGGGUUCGCAGGCACCUGGCAACAGAAGCCUGCACUUUCCUC
rnacentral:tmRNA from 1 species